rnacentral:lncRNA from 1 species
AUUUAAAUUUUAAAACACAUAUAAUAUUUAUUGCACAGCUAGGCAAGACUAUCCUUAGAACAUAAUCAAAAGUUUAUAUGCAAUAUUCACACAUUGCACAACAUGAUCUUGUCAUUAAAAAGCCCUAAAGUUCGUAAUAAGUCUUUGCAUGCAAUAAAGAUAAAUAUUGUUGAAUAUUGCACCUCAUAGAAUAUUCACUGCACUCAUGGUCAUUCAAUAUAAAAAUCUCUAUAAAAUGUAUGUGAUAUCCGUAAGAUCAUUGUAUCAUAACCAGAAGUUAGCAAGCAAUAUUCUAUGAUAUUGCACUUGUGAAAAAAUGCUUGAAAAUUGUGACAUAGUGUCUGUGUAAUUGCAAAAGGUUUGCAUUGCAAUGAAAGAGAUUGCAUGAAUAUUUUUGAAAAAGGUCUCGUAGAAAUUUUAAAAUUUUCACUGGCAUGCCUGUGCAAUUUAACUUUAUACAAGGGACAAAAUUCACCAAUAUUUGAAGAACAAUUCCAUAUAUUAUUAAAUAUGUUGAGAAAUUACUAGAAAAAGUAUACAAGGGUUUUAAAGGUGUAUUUAUAAAUGCUACUGGAGAAUGGAUCUGUAUUUGCUUAUUUGCAUAGAAAUAAUUGAUAUUCAACCUGUAGUCCCAAAUAUAAGUGAAGAUGUAAAUUUGUAAAAUAAUUGUAGAUUUGUAAAUAAACUUUGCCAUACAUACAUGUAUGUGAUUUGAACAUAAAGUUGAUUUUAAUCAUUGUACAAAAGGAAUCUAUUUUGGAAAACUGCAAAUUUUAUUUUCCUGGGUACUGUGAAUCUAUUAUUAUACAUGUACAAGAAUUGAAUGCUUUUUGUAAAUUCAUUGGGUGUAAAAGCUUUGACUGACGUACAUUUUGUAUAAAGCGCGCAAUCUAAAAAUGUGUGCAUGGUCAUGGUUUUACAAUCCUAUGAAGUAACAUAAAGAAACGUUCAAUGCUUAUAAUUACAUUUUUUAGCUAGGAUCAUGAAAACAAGAUUUCUUAAAGUUUUUAUCUAAUUUACCUGUACACUUUAUUGUGGGACCUCAUGUGAUCAUGACUGGUGAUGAUGUUACAUUUCAUUGUUUAAUGAAUGUUAAUAUCAGAAGGAUGUGAAAUUGGUGUUAGCCAAUCAAGAUAAGGUAUCAUAAUGAAACAUACAUGCUAUGUAAUGCCUCGUUCACACAGA